rnacentral:rRNA from 1 species
CCUACGGGGGGCAGCAGUGGGGAAUAUUGGGCAAUGGAGGAAACUCUGACCCAGCCAAGUCGCGUGAGGGAUGACGGCCCUACGGGUUGUAAACCUCUUUUGCCGGGGAGCAACGGGCGCCACGUGUGGCGCCACUGAGAGUACCCGGAGAAAAAGCAUCGGCUAACUCCGUGCCAGCAGCCGCGGUAAUACGGAGGAUGCGAGCGUUAUCCGGAUUUAUUGGGUUUAAAGGGUGCGUAGGCGGAUCGUUAAGUCAGUGGUCAAAUUGAGGGGCUCAACCCCUUCCCGCCAUUGAAACUGGCGCUCUUGAGUGGAAGAGAAGUAUGCGGAAUGCGUGGUGUAGCGGUGAAAUGCAUAGAUAUCACGCAGAACCCCGAUUGCGAAGGCAGCAUGCCGGCUUCCGACUGACGCUGAAGCACGAAAGCGUGGGGAUCGAACAGGAUUAGAUACCCUUGUAGUC